rnacentral:rRNA from 1 species
CCUACGGGAGGCAGCAGUGGGGAAUUUUGGACAAUGGGCGAAAGCCUGAUCCAGCAAUGCCGCGUGAGUGAAGAAGGCCUUCGGGUUGUAAAGCUCUUUUGUCAGGGAAGAAACGGUGAGAGCUAAUAUCUCUUGCUAAUGACGGUACCUGAAGAAUAAGCACCGGCUAACUACGUGCCAGCAGCCGCGGUAAUACGUAGGGUGCAAGCGUUAAUCGGAAUUACUGGGCGUAAAGCGUGCGCAGGCGGUUUUGUAAGUCUGUCGUGAAAUCCCCGGGCUCAACCUGGGAAUUGCGAUGGAGACUGCAAGGCUAGAAUUUGGCAGAGGGGGGUAGAAUUCCACGUGUAGCAGUGAAAUGCGUAGAGAUGUGGAGGAACACCGAUGGCGAAGGCAGCCCCCUGGGUCAAGAUUGACGCUCAUGCACGAAAGCGUGGGGAGCAAACAGGAUUAGAUACCCUGGUAGUCCACGCCCUAAACGAUGUCUACUAGUUGUCGGGUUUUAAUUAACUUGGUAACGCAGCUAACGCGUGAAGUAGACCGCCUGGGGAGUACGGUCGCAAGAUUAAAACUCAAAUGAAUUGACGGCUGAGACGNGCGAGACGACGACGAGGGAGGAGG